rnacentral:rRNA from 1 species
GACGAACGCUGGCGGCGUGCUUAACACAUGCAAGUCGAACGGAAAGGCCCUGCUUUUGUGGGGUUCUCGAGUGGCGAACGGGUGAGUAACACGUGAGUAACCUGCCCUUGACUUUGGGAUAACUUCAGGAAACUGGGGCUAAUACCGGAUAGGAGCUCCUGCUGCAUGGUGGGGGUUGGAAAGUUUCGGCGGUUGGGGCUGGAUUGGCGGCUUAUCAGCUUGUUGGUGGGGUAGUGGCUUACCAAGGCUUUGACGGGUAGCCGGCCUGAGAGGGGGAACGGGGACAAGGCGCCUGCGAGACGGCGCAGACUCGUAUGGGAGGCAGCAGGCGGGAAUAUGGCACAACGGGCGGACGUGUGUGGCGGCAACGCCGGGGUCGUGAUGACGGCUUUUGGGGUGUAAACCGCUGUCGCCUGUGACGAAGCGGGAGUGACGGUAACGGGUAAAGAAGCACCGGCUAACUACGUG